UACUCUACUAGGAUGAUGCACAAGAAAAGGUCAGGAUAGCU
rnacentral:tRNA from 49 species